AUGGGCUUUGGGUUAUGUAGAUCAAAAAUGAUGAAUGGGAUUGUGGCACUCCACUCGCCGCCAAUGCGGAAGGAUGUCGCCGAAAAGAAUGGAACGCUGCUUCGCUCUGCUGGAUGCGUCGGAUCCCAUAUAAGAAGCUCGCUCUUUACCCGAUCAUUCAAACAUUUUGUGGGCGGCGCGCCUGCUCUAUUGUUGCGUAGCAAUAGAAGCCUGCUCAUGCAGCUUCGGCGGCGCUUUUUCGCCUUCUCUUCGCUCUGGACAGGAGCGCUAAUGGACACGGGGAGGGAGCAGGCAAAGCGUGUCGUUCGUAAUGGAAAGAAAGACACCACUACUUCGCCUCUUUGUUGGACCGCCGGCGCGAACACGGUGGUCUCUGACCAGGACCAGGAACCAAUUCGAAUUUGGAUCUUGACAUGUCGGUUGUUUUUAACUGUAGGCAUCUCGCCAGGAAGUUGGUGGGCUCAUCAUGAAUUAGGUCGGGGUGGCUGGUGGUUUCGGGAUCCCGUAGAAAAUGCGUCUUUUAUGCCUCGGGUAUUAGCCACAGCUCGUAUUCAUUCAGUAAUUCUACCCCUUCUUCAUUCUUGGACCUCGCUUCUGAAUAUUUUGACUCUUCCAUGCUGUGUCUUAGGAACCUUUUCAAUACGGUCCGGAUUGCUAGCUCCCGUUCAUAGUUCCGCUACAGACGAUACACGAGGAAGAUUUUUAUGGCGGUUCUUCCUUCUAAUUACAGGCAUAUCUAUGACUCUUUUUUACCAGAUGAAGCAGGAGGCAUCGGUCCGUAGAACCUAUAAAAAAGAGAUGGUUGUGGCGCGAAGUACUCUUGUGCACCUACGUCACUCGGCUCGCGCGCAACCCCGCCCCGUUAUGUUAUGUUAUGGAAGAAUUUAG
rnacentral:rRNA from 1 species